AUUGAACGCUGGCGGCACGCCUAACACAUGCAAGUCGAGCGGCAGCGAGACUAGUAGCAAUACUAGUUGUCGGCGAGCGGCGGACGGGUGAGUAACACGUAGGAAUCUGCCCUUAAGCGGGGGAUAACCAAGGGAAACUUUGGCUAAUACCGCAUAAUCUCGAGAGAGCAAAGCUGCCCGCAAGGGUGGCACUUGAGGGGGAGCCUGCGUCCGAUUAGUUAGUUGGUGGGGUAAUGGCCUACCAAGGCGAUGAUCGGUAACUGGUCUGAGAGGAAGACCCGUCACACUGGGACUGGGACACGGCCCAGACUCCUACGGGAGGCAGCAGUGGGGAAUAUUGGACAAUGGGGGCAACCCUGAUCCAGCGAUGCCGCGUGAGUGAAGAAGGCCUUCGGGUCGUAAAGCUCUUUAGGUUGGGAAGAAGUGUAUUGGCUGAAUAAUCCAGUACAUUGACGGUACCGACAGAAUAAGCACCGGCAAACUCUGUGCCAGCCGCCGCAGUAACAC
rnacentral:rRNA from 1 species